rnacentral:rRNA from 1 species
UGUAAGCGUCUACCAAAGUUGUUGCAGUUAAAACGCUCGUAGUCGGAAUUUGGCAGUUCCGGAAGUGUGCACGUCGUGUGCGCACUUUGCGGGGACUGCUUUUGUGGUCUUGCGUAGGAUGAGGCACUUUCAUUAGUGAACGUCCUCACGCAACCACUCUUUACUGUGAGAAAAUCAGAGUGCUCAAAGCAGGCAUUUGCCGUGAAUGUAUUAGCAUGGAAUAAUAGAAUAGGACUCGGUUCUAUUUUGUUGGUUUGUUGGGACUGAGUAAUGAUUAAGAGGGACAGUUGGGGGCAUUUGUAUUCCGGCGCUAGAGGUGAAAUUCUUAGAUUGCCGGAAGACAAACUGCUGCGAAAGCGUCUGCCAAGGAUGUUUUCAUUGA